rnacentral:lncRNA from 1 species
CUUAGGUGAUCCACCCGCCUCGGCCUCCCAAAAUGCUGGGAUUACAGGUGUGAGCCACCAUGCCCAGCCCUCUGGUUUUGAUUUAAGUUUGGGUCUCUGUGAGGCAAGAGUCCCAGAGUCCUUGACCCUCAAAGGGACAACUCAGCCAGUGGCACCAUAGUUUGUAACAAAUAUGAAGAUGCGGCCCUGUGUCAGUCAGGCAGCCAGUACUAAGGUGACUGCCUGGAGUUUGGCCAAUUGUGUUGACCCUUGAGUCCUGUCCUUCACUGGGGACAUUCUGACUGAGAGAUGGAAAGCAGCCAUCAUCCACUGAGCUUCCUCAUUCUUACAAUGGUUGGCAGUGUGGUUCCUACCAUCUGUGUUCACUCAGCUAAUCCCAGGGGCUCUCCAGGUAGCCACGAGGUCUGAGAGAAGGCUUUUGGCCACCUCAAGUUUUUGGGUUUUGUCUCAGGCUGAUAAGAGGAAGUGGUGGCGGCAGGGUAGAGACGGGGUUUUCACCGUGUUAGCCAGGAUGGUC